rnacentral:rRNA from 1 species
UAAAUGAACUUAAAUUCAACUUAAAAUAUUUUUUUAACAAACAAAGUAAAAAAUAAUAUUCUAAAGUUAAUUAAUAGAGGUUCAGCUCUAUUAAUAAAGGAUACAACCUAAAACAAUGAAUAAUGAUUAUAUUAACAAAAGAAAUUAAUAAUGUAGGCCUAAAAGCAGCAAUCAAAAUAAAAGCGUUAAAGCUUAAUUUAAUAAAUCUUAUUAUAACAAUAAAAUAUCUUAAUUCAUUAAAACUAUUAAGUCAAUCUAUUUAAAUAGAUGUGAUUAUACUAGAAUGAGUAAUAAGAAUUUAUUCUCUAAGUACAAGUGUAAAUCAGAACGAAUAUCUCACUGAUAAUUAACAAACCUUUUGAAGGAAAAAUAGUAUUCUACAAGAAAAAUCUAUUUAAUUUAUCGUUAACCCAACACAGGAGUACAUUAGAAAGAUUAAAAAUAUAGGAAGGAACUCGGCAAACACGAACUUCGCCUGUUUACCAAAAACAUCGCCUCUUGCAAUUAAGGUAUAAGAGGUCCUGCCUGCCCAGUGACACUAAGUUUAACGGCCGCGGUAUUAUGACCGUGCAAAGGUAGCGUAAUCACUUGUCUUUUAAAUAAAGACCAGUAUGAAAGGCAAGACGAAAGUUCAACUGUCUCCCUAAAUUGAUCAAUGAAGUUAAUCUUUCCGUGCAGAAGCGGAAAUAUAAAUAUAAGACGAGAAGACCCUAUGGAGCUUUAAACAUAUAAUCAACUGUAAAACAUAAACCCGAAAGAUAAAAUAUUAAAUAUAACAGUAUGAUUAAAAUUUUAGGUUGGGGCGACCACGGAGAAAAACAAAACCUCCGAGAUGAAGAGAAUAUCUUAAUUUAAGAACUACAGUUCUAAAAAAUAAAAUAUUUAACAUAAUUGAUCCAAUAUAUUGAUCAACGAACCAAGUUACCCUAGGGAUAACAGCGCAAUCCUCUCCAAGAGUCCCUAUCGACGAGUGGGUUUACGACCUCGAUGUUGGAUCAGGACACCCCGAUGGUGCAGCCGCUAUUAAAGGUUCGUUUGUUCAACGAUUAAAGU